CGGUGUCGUAGCCAACGCGUUAAGUGUUCCGCCUGGGGAGUACGCACGCAAGUGUGAAACUCAAAGGAAUUGACGGGGGCCCGCACAAGCGGUGGAGUAUGUGGUUUAAUUCGAUGCAACGCGAAGAACCUUACCAGGGUUUGACAUCCUGCGAAUCUCUUGGAAACAGGAGAGUGCCUUCGGGAACGCAGUGACAGGUGGUGCAUGGCUGUCGUCAGCUCGUGUCGUGAGAUGUUGGGUUAAGUCCCGCAACGAGCGCAACCCACGUCUUUAGUUGCCAGCAUUUAGUUGGGCACUCUAGAGAGACUGCCGGUGAUAAACCGGAGGAAGGUGUGGAUGACGUCAAGUCAUCAUGCCCCUUACAUCCUGGGCUACACACGUACUACAAUGCUACGGACAAAGGGCAGCAAGUUCGCGAGGACAAGCAAAUCCCAUAAACCGUGGCUCAGUUCAGAUCGUAGGCUGCAACUCGCCUACGUGAAGGCGGAAUCGCUAGUAAUCGCAGGUCAGCAUACUGCGGUGAAUACGUUCCCGGGCCUUGUACACACCGCCCGUCACACCAUGGAAGUUGGCCACGCCCGAAGCCGUUACUCCAACCCUUGUGGAGGAGGACGUCGAAGGUGGGGCUGAUGACUGGGGUGAAGUCGUAACAAGGUAUCCGUACCGGAAGGUGCGGAUGGAUCACCUCCUAA
rnacentral:rRNA from 1 species